rnacentral:rRNA from 1 species
CGCGGGAAAUCUUACCGGGUCCGGACACACUGAGGAUUGACAGGUUCUAUUAAAUGUAACUAUUUUUUUGUUUAUUUUAUGUUAAAUAUGCUAGUCCUUUCAUGAUUAUGUGAUAGGUGGUGCAUGGCCGUUCUUAGUUCGUGGAGUGAUCUGUCUGCUUAAUUGCGUUUCACUAAGGGCUUAUUAAAACGUGUAUUGCUGCGCUUUGACCCCUAUUUUUAUUUAUUUAAUUUUAGUGCGUGUCUUAGUUGUUUCGCUCACACAUUUAAGUCCUGAAAGCAACGAACGUGACCGCAACCUCUUGUUGCCUUUUGCACAACACUACUUUAAUAUUAAUUAUUUUUGUAGAAAAAGAGGCUUUUAAACUAGAGGGACCGCUGUAUUUCUUUUAAACCAGAGGAAGGUUGCGGCAAUAACAGGUCUGUGAUGCCCUUAGAUGUUCCGGGCUGCACACGUGCUACAAUGAUUAUUGCAGUGAGCAUCUCAUUUAAUACACCGCUUGUGCGAAUCCAGUUUUUUAACUGUGACUUUGCACGCGGUAAAGCCUGCUUCGAAAGUAAGUGGGUAAUCAAUUAGAAGUAAUGAUUUCCUUUUUUAGCACACAUAUAUACGGCAUUGAGACCCGGAGUAAUUUUUACAUUACUUUUUGUGUGUUUCUUUGUUUUUCCGUAUGUGCAAUUGUCAAUUCAUGGUGGGGACAGACCAUUGUUAAUUGUUGGUCUCGGUCUUAACUAGGAAUGCCUUGUACGGGUCUUUGGUUCAACAGACCACCCGGAAUACGUCCCUGCCCUUUGUACACACCGCCCGUCGCUCUUACCGAUGGACUUCUCUGUGAGUUUGAGGGACUGGAAUUUUAUUUUGCAUUUUUUUGCUUAUAAUACCUCUAUGGAAACUUAAACGAACAGUGUGGUCUAAAGGAAAGAGAAGUCGUAACAAGGCAUCGGUA